rnacentral:lncRNA from 1 species
GGUGGCAACACUAGCUCCACUAGUCUCAAGAUAUUCCAGAUAUUUCCAAGGAAUUUAGCGAUAGUUGACUUUGUCUGUUAGCAUUCCCUUACAGCCAGUUGGUCUGUGGUUCAUGUUUCGUUAGCUUAGUAUGCUACUUGUGUGUUACCUGACUUGAAUGCCGUGAUUUGUGAAAACAUAUAUAAAGAUGUAGCGGCAAACAUACUGAAUUGGUUCUUUCUAUCAAAAGCGGUAGGGAACGUCUACUCCCAGCAAGGGACAUGCACAACCACCACCGCCGCCUGUAUCUAGUAUUUCAGAAGAGUCCGACCGAGAUGGGUAUGUAUCUUAGAACUGCGUUUCUAAACCAGCCAUGCAGGACAUUGUAAGUUGUGACUGACUUAUUUAUCUUUUGAAUCAGGGACAAAGAAUUCGCUAUGCAAGGUGUUCAACCGUUGGGCAAAGAAACCGAAGCGGUUGGUGUGCUAGAAUCUAGCAUGCACUCCUUGAGCAUUGCUGAAGAGGAGCAGCAUGACUCUCUGGAUGAGGAGGAGGCGAAUUAUAUGAGGAAUAGCAUGUAAGUCUUGCACAUGAAACCAUCUUAGUUCGUGUUCUUUUGUACUUCAAGUUUAUGGUGUGUGUGUAUUUUGUAAAUAUUUUUUAUUUACAGUAUUGACAUGGAUGAUUGCUGGGAGGAUCCUAAUCAGAAGGGCUUGGAAGAAGAUCGGGACAGCUCUGAUGAAGACUAUAGUCCUUUUCUUCAUCUACGUGCCCCAGCUAUGACUGCCAACAUCAACCAACUCCUGGAGAUAAGCAUGGAUGAAGCCGUGCUUGAUGUGGCAACACCCAAUCCUCCAGGUGAGGACAUACAAGAAACUCCAGAACAACAAAACGUUUCAGGACAACUUCAGAUUUGGAGAAUUUCCAAAACCACAUACUCAUGUAUGCAGGAAAGCGGUUUGCCUACACCCCCUGUUUACAAAACCCAGACAUUGCUUGCAGCAAUCGAUUACAACUAUCACAACCACCGCAUUCCUGCACGUGGCAAGGAUGGACACCGAAUGUAAGCUUCGCUAUAACAGUAGUGUACUACCAAAAAUAGUUCAUUAGUUCUUACCUAAACAGUUGUGGAAUUGUGCAAUUACUUUACUUUACUAGGUACAGACGGUACUUCAACAAGAAGUCCAAGCGCUGGAGUGUACAUGUGUUGAAGGAGAGCAAAGGCUACCAUUACAUUCCAUCCUUGCUGAGAGG